AUACGGAAGGUCCGGGCGUUAUCCGGAUUUAUUGGGUUUAAAGGGAGCGCAGGCGGAGAUGCAAGCGUGACGUCAAAUUUCGGGGCUCAACCCCGUCUCGCGUCGCGAACUGCGUCCCUUGGUUGCGGGAAGGGGAGGCGGAACUCGUGGUGUAGCGGGGCAAUGCAUAGAUAUCACGAAGAACUCCGAUCGCGAAGGCAGCCUUCCGGCCCGUCAACGACGCUCAUGCUCGAAGGUGCGGGUAUCAAACAGGAUUAGAUACCCUGGUAGUCCGCACAGUAAACGAUGGACACCCGCGGUUUGGCCUGUAUGGCUGAGCCGCCAAGCGAAAGCGUUAAGUGUCCCACCUGGGGAGUACGCCGGCAACGGUGAAACUCAAAGGAAUUGACGGGG
rnacentral:rRNA from 1 species